UUCUUUUUAUUUUUAGCUGAAAAGACGUUAAGGCAGUCAGCCCAGUGGUGUUUCUGGAGAGGGAUUCCUUCAGAAAUGGAGAAGACAGAAAGCUGCGGAGGCAGAUAUAUGCAGCAUGUUCGAGUGAGCAUGAUGACCACAAGUGUGUGUCGAACUUUUCAUGACCUGAUGACUGUGUUUCCCAAUCCUGAUCCUGGAGAAGCCCAGCACUGCACGGUUUUGGUGUCUCUCUUAUCUGCCUUGGAGUCUUCACUGAUGAGCUGAUGAGUUGAAUCAGGAUUGUUUGAGGAUAAGGCUGUAGCUCCAUCAUGCACAAGGACUCACCUCGUUAACUCUUUUCCCCCGCACACACAGAAAUGGUCCCUGGAUCAGUGAUUAGACUUUGCAGUGGUUUGAUUUUUGCAGAAGAUGUAACUUUGUUUUAAUUAUAAGCUCAUAAUGAAUACAUUACAGAACCAGUGAUGAAAACAAUAGUUAAAAAUAGCGCUCCAUAUUAAAAAUAUAUUGCACACUUGACAUGCAUGUCUUCAUGGUGUUUUUUUGUGAGUUUGAAACAUUUACAUUGUGUCGUAUAACAUUUUGGUCACAACACUUUUUCCAGUGUUCUCUGAAAGACAUACUGUAUUUACUGUUUUGUUUUUUAAUAAAAGCAUUUUCAUUUGCAUACUGAAAAUAGUUAAUGUUUACAACAUAACUGCCUUUUUAUUCUUUAUGGUGGCAAAAACGAGCUUGGUGACAGAGGAUGCAGUGUAGUAAUUUGGGCAUGUUGUCUUUAAAUGAGUUUGACAUAUAAAUAAAUAAUGGAAGAUCCUUACAAAAAUAUGCAUGUUUAUUAUGCUUUAUGUAUUUA